CACGACUAAAUUAAGGCUAAUGCAACGGUAGUUUUAUUACCGUUGUAAUGGCAUAGGCUAAUUCAACGGAUUCACCUCUAAUAUUCUAAGAGGUAAAGCUAAUACAACGGCUCUAAAGAACCGUUGCAUUAGCCUAGGUAUUUCAACAACUAAGAAAGCUGAUGCAACGGUAUGUAUGAAAAAUUAGAUGGCGCGGAAAUUUUCAUGACUUCCCUCUACUUUUUCCCUAAAAAUUUAAAACCCCUUACACGUGUUCCUAUUCUAAGACAAAACUAAAAAGAAAAAAGAAAAGAAAAUUGGAAAAGUAAGAAAGCUGUUUCUCUGAACUAAACCCAUAUUCUCACAUCUUGGCACUAUACCCAUAUUCCCCCAAUUCUCCAUUUUUGAAGCCUUAAAUUACUGUAGGAAAAUUAUUGAAAAAUUUCUGAGAGGAAAAUUAAACAAAGGAAUCUGAGCAAGUAGACGAAGGCGGCACUCAAGUGGUGGCUGAUUGCUUGAAUUUCAGGCGGUGGUUGCGAGUUUCAAGCGGUGGCUGCGAAUUUCAAGCGGUUUCAACAACUCCCAUUUUCAUCUUGCAUGUUCCUGCCUUGUGGUUGAUUGCUCGAGUUGCUGUUUAAGAUUUAAUCCUGAGUUAGUGGUAUACCAUGCUGUAACCGACAUACUAAAUAAAGAUCAACUAGGCAAUCUAAGGCGCCUUGAUUUUGCGAUUCCAUCGGCUCCAAAGGAUGCAUUUAGUGCGCCACAUCUUCUCGUUGACCAAAAUAAGCAAUCUUCUAAAUCUAGGGCCACAAUUAAUCAGGUGCAUGGCGAGCUAAAUGGAGAUGAAGUAUAAUGUCUAGUCAUCUAACAAAUGGUGCAUAUAUGUUGCCGAAUCUAAUUCUAUUAAGUUCAAGUUUGUGAAGAUUUGGAAAUUCCAGCUUAUAUAUAUGUUGAAAUUUGUAUUUUGAACGAUUAAAUUAAUUUUAUAACUUUUAUUUAUUAAUUAGUAGGGUGUCAUAUCGAAAACAAACAAGUAAUAAUUUGUAAAGUACGUAUUUAACA